ensembl:lncRNA
GGCAGAAGCACAGCACUGCUACACCUGACAUUUCCAGCUAUUCUGUUAGAGCAGAGCAUCUGCAGGUGCGCUUGAAGCAACACCAGUUCCAGUGGGACUGGGGGAUCUGAGACCUUGGAGCUGUUUGCAAGUUAGCUGUGAUUUUGAAACUCGAAGGUAAGCCAUCAUUUGGAAAUGUAAAGAUCUUCCAUCAAAUGCCUCAGGCAUGAGCUUGUAGCUUCCUCAGCUCUGCUUUCUCUGCACGGUGGGGCUAAUAAAAAAAAUACCAGUAGGCCUUUGCAGGAAAAAAUGAUGUUUCCCAAGUGAAUGUCCUGAGUGUGGGUAGAACUCAGGUACCUCGCUGGUAUGGAAACAGUCUUGGCUGUAUUCUGUCUUCUGUCGUGUGGUCUCCCUCAGUAUGUGGGGCUCAUGCAGUGCAGCAGGGAAGCUGUGGAGUCGCACUAAGACAGGAACAGCAUGUGCUGCUCUCCUCUCUCAGGAGUGUUUGUGUGCUGAGAGUUUCAAGGCUGUGGGCUCUCACACUCAGCAGAGGCUGAGGACAAGUGGGAAUGGUUUUAAACUGAGACAGGGGAGGUUUAGGUUAGAUAUUAGGAGGAAGUUUUUCACACAGAAGGUGGUGAUGCACUGGAACAGGUUGCCCAAGGAGGUUGUGGAUGCUCCAUCCCUGGAGGCAUUCAAGGCCAGGCUGGAUGUGGCUCUGGGCAGCCUGAUGUAGUGGUUGGCAACCCUGCACAUAGCAGGGGGAUGAAACUGGAUGAUCAUUGUGGUCCUUUUCAACCCAGGCCAUUCUGUGAUUCUAUGAUUUUCACCAGAAUAGAUGAGGCUCUGUGGAAAUGUACUGUUGGCUCAGAUAUCAUUUGUUCCUUUCCACAGAAGAGACCCCCAAGCAGAUCUUCUUUCUGUCCUGUGUCAGCUCAGAGAAACAGUCUGCAUGGGCUGGGACUUGGCAUAUGAUUCAAGAGCUUCUCUUGUAACUUUCAGUGUGUGCUUGGCUACACAAACAUUGAUGAAAUCCCAUUAGGGCUGUGUACAAACACCACGGUCAGGGUACAGAGGCAAGCAGAACUAGAACAAAGAUGAGGUUGUGGCUGCUGAUUACAGCGGAGCUUCCAGGCUCCAUUUCACCCCAUCUGCACUUCUUUUGGGUGUACGGGCUGUGCUACACUCAGACAAUCCCCUGCAGCAGGGGGUGAACAGGAGCAAAACCCACUGGUGUCAGAGUUGCACCUGGAAACAGGCUCGGGAGACAGUGUGAUCUCUGGAGCUAAGAAAUUCAUCAGGGUUCACUUAACAGCUUCUGAAAGGCAGCCAAGUGGAGCAGAAAGCUCAUGUGUGAACUCCUGCCCUGCAGCCCUGCUGCUGUACUGGGGAAAGCCAGUGGCAAUCCUGCUGUGUGCCGUGGUGCUGGGCGCUGUGCCACGGCCCUGCACGGUGCUGAGAUGCAGAAGUCAAGCACAGGCGCCGUGUGUGGGCAGGAUGGGUGUCUGCUGCUGGGGCUCAGCGGUUGAUUUUCAGGCAGGGCAAUAUUUGUGUCCCUACCUCACCCUGCAGCUUGUGCCGGGCAAAUGCACUUCCCUGGCUUAGGCUGAUAAUUUCUUGGACCCAGAAACCAUCAGCUAACCCUCCUGAAAACCAGCCUGUCAGAUGGGAAAUGUGGUCUGGCCUUUGGUAUUACAGCAGGCGGUUGGGUAGGAGGCUCCUAGGAAUAAGCCACUCUUCUGAAAGGUCUCCUGUGUCCAUUGAAGCCCCCACCGUACUGUCAAUGCAGUGCUGUCACUACAGGCUUCAGUCAGCUGAUGUGGGGGUGUUUGCAUCCUGGAGGGCUCUUGAUGUGGAGGGGUUUGUGAAGGUUGAUGAUGUAUCCUCUGUCACGCUGUGGCCCUCAAAGCACACUCAGGUUGGACUUGUAGCACCUCCAUAUUUUUGCUCCUGGGCUGUUCUGUAGCUGUACUGUCACACAAAAAGGGUCUCACAGGCAGUUAUGGGGCUCCUUUUCACAACCUCUAGGAAUCAAGGUCUAAUUUUCCUUAGGAUCUUCCUUUGAUGAGAAGAGGAACCAAGAACAGGGCCUGGCAGUGGAGAAGCUGUUUGCUAACGUAAGCCCAGGUGCCCAUCUCCAGCCACAGCUCUGGCUCGGCAGUGCCCAGUGCCUGAAAUAGAACCCCAGGCAUCCACGGCUGCACACAUAGCAACGACAGCCUCAUUAGGUAAGGGAGAAUGAGAGGAACUGGACCCCGAUUGGAACUGGGCCCAGCACAGGUGAAGCCAUGCCUCUGCAUCCCUAAAGAUGGAAAGCAAAG